rnacentral:lncRNA from 1 species
UAGAGAUACCUUCAAUGCCACUCUAUGUUUGUCUUCUAUAAUUUAGGAGUCUCUAUCUUUCUCUUCUCUCUUUAUACGCAUUAAAUUUAGGAGUUUCUCUCCCUUCUAUCUCUAUGCAUUAAAUUUAAGAAUUUCUAUAUGUCUCUAGCAUUAAUUUAGGUAUUUAUCUCCAUGUCUCCCUCGCUAUCUCUCUUUCAACCCCUAAAGAUACCCCGUCUCUCUUUCUAUACAUUAAAUUUAAUACUUUCUAUCUCUAGCAUUAAAUUCAGGGAUUUAUUUCCACGUUUAUCUCAAU